rnacentral:rRNA from 1 species
CAAUAGCGUAUAUUAAAGUUGUUGCAGUUAGAACGCUCGUAGUCGGAUUUCGGGGCGGGGCGACCGGUCUGCCGAUGGGUAUGCACUGGUCGGCGCGUCCUUCCUUCCGGAGACCGUUCCUACUCUUAACUGAGCGGGGGCGGGAGACGGAUCGUUUACUUUGAAAAAAUCAGAGUGUUUCAAGCAGGCAGCUCGCUCUUGCAUGGAUUAGCAUGGGAUAAUGAAAUAGGACUUUGGUGCUAUUUUGUUGGUUUCGAACACCGAAGUAAUGAUUAAAAGGGACAGUCAGGGGCACUCGUAUUCCGCCGAGAGAGGUGAAAUUCUCAGACCAGCGGAAGACGAACCACUGCGAAAGCAUUUGCCAGGGAUGUUUNCACUGA